rnacentral:rRNA from 1 species
AAUCACUUGUCCUUUAAAUGAAGACCUGUAUGAAUGGCGCCACGAAAGCUUAACUGUCUCCCUCCCCCAGUCAAUGAAAUUGAUCUCCCCGUGCAGAAGCGGGGAUAAGAACAUAAGACGAGAAGACCCUGUGGAGCUUUAGAUACUAAGUCCGGCCCAUAUACAUGCCAACAAAUAAAUUAAAUGCAUAAAACAUAUCGUAACCGAACUGAUAUCUUUGGUUGGGGCGACCAUGGGGAAAUAAAAAACCCCCAAGAGGAAAGAAGCACUACCCCUUUUACACCGCUUCCACAAAUAAAGGUUGACAGACCUAAUUCACAAAACCUUUGACCUAUAAUGAUCCGGCAAAGCCGAUCAACGAACCGAGUUACCCCAGGGAUAACAGCGCAAUCCUCUUCAAGAGCUCCUAUCGACAAGAGGGUUUACGACCUCGAUGUUGGAUCAGGACAUCCUAAUAGUGCAGCCGCCAUUAAGGGUUCGUUUGUUCAACGAUUAA